GGAGCUUAAAUUUUAUUCAUAAUUUUAAACAAGCAAAUGAACACAAUGCAUCUGAGAACUAUGGAUAAUUCCAUCAUCACUAUGAGCAAAUGAAGCAACCUUUAAAUAAAUAUAGCUCCAAAGCUCGAAAGAAGAAGAGAACAAAGACUGAUCAAAUUAGAGCCUAUAGUAAAUAAUCUAGGCAAAUCCGAAAAUAAAAAAAGGUCAGGAACUGAUUCUAGCUAGACUCAUAAGGCAUCAACAAGCAAAUAUUGAAAUAACCCUUGUGAAUUCAAAUGCAUCGUUAACCAAAUCAUAAGCCUACUGGAAGGAUAAUUAGACAUACAAGUAUAUAAGGAACUAAUAUUUCAAUCUUCGCACUAUGAGAUUAACUAAACCCAAAACAACAACAAAGAUGCAUAGUUACAGGAUUAGCUAAAAACUGAAGUAAGA
rnacentral:lncRNA from 1 species